rnacentral:rRNA from 1 species
UACGAAGGGGGCUAGCGUUGUUCGGAAUUACUGGGCGUAAAGCGUGCGCAGGCGGCCUUCCAAGUCAGGGGUGAAAGCCCAGAGCUCAACUCUGGAAUUGCCUUUGAGACUGAGUGGCUUGAGUACGAGAGAGGUGAGUGGAAUUCCCAGUGUAGAGGUGAAAUUCGUAGAUAUUGGGAAGAACACCGGUGGCGAAGGCGGCUCACUGGCUCGUAACUGACGCUCAUGCACGACAGCGUGGGGAUCAAACAGG